GACGAACCGUGCGAACGUUAUUCGGAAUCACUGGGCUUAAAGGGUGCGUAGGCGGGUUGCCAAGUCUGUGGUGAAAUCCUCCGGCUUAACCGGAGAACUGCCGUGGAUACUGGCGACCUCGAGGGGGAUAGGGGCUUGCGGAACUGUGCGUGGAGCGGUGAAAUGCGUUGAUAUGCACAGGAACUCCGGUGGCGAAAGCGGCGAGCUGGAUCCCUUCUGACGCUGAGGCACGAAAGCUAGGGGAGCGAACGGG
rnacentral:rRNA from 1 species